rnacentral:rRNA from 1 species
CGCAGCUAACGCACUAAGUUGACCGCCUGGGGAGUACGGCCGCAAGGUUAAAACUCAAAUGAAUUGACGGGGGCCCGCACAAGCGGUGGAGCAUGUGGUUUAAUUCGACGCAACGCGAAGAACCUUACCUGGCCUUGACAUCCUGCGAACUUUCUAGAGAUAGAUUGGUGCCUUCGGGAACGCAGUGACAGGUGCUGCAUGGCCGUCGUCAGCUCGUGUCGUGAGAUGUUGGGUUAAGUCCCGUAACGAGCGCAACCCCUAUCCUUGGUUGCUAGCAGUUCGGCUGAGAACUCCAGGGAGACUGCCGGUGACAAACCGGAGGAAGGUGGGGAUGACGUCAGGUCAUCAUGGCCCUUACGGCCAGGGCUACACACGUGCUACAAUGGCGCGCACAGAGGGCUGCAAACCCGCGAGGGUAAGCCAAUCUCUUAAAACGCGUCGUAGUCCGGAUCGCAGUCUGCAACUCGACUGCGUGAAGUCGGAAUCGCUAGUAAUCGCGAAUCAGAAUGUCGCGGUGAAUACGUUCCCGGGCCUUGUACACACCGCCCGUCACACCAUGAGAGUGGAUUGCACCAGAAGUGGUUAGUCUAACCUUCGGGAGGACGAUCACCACGGUGUGGUUCAUGACUGGGGUG